UCCCGGCUGGCUCAGUUGGUAGAGCAUGGGGCUCUUUAUCUCAGGGCCGUGAGUUCAAGCCCCACAUUGGGUG
rnacentral:tRNA from 1 species